AGCCUAGCCCUAGCCCAAUUACCCCUAAUAAAUUAACCAAUAAACAAACCCAACAGUACUAAAAACUAAAACAUUCUAUUAACUUAGUAUAGGUGAUAGAAAAGAAUCUUCCGGCGCAAUAGAGCAUCGUACCGUAAGGGAAAGGUGAAAUAAAAGUGAAACUGCAAGCAAGAAACAGCAAAGAUCAACCCUUGUACCUUUUGCAUCAUGAUUUAGCAAGAAUAACCAAGCAAAAUGAAUUUAAGCUUGCCACCCCGAAACCCGAGCGAGCUACCUGCGAGCAGCUUACUAAGGAGCGAACCCGUCUCUGUUGCAAGAGAGUGGGACGACUUGUCGGUAGAGGUGAAAAGCCUAUCGAGCCGGGUGAUAGCUGGUUGCCUGUGAAGUGAAUAUAAGUUCUCUCCUGACUUCUCCUCCCAUGACGUAUCAACUUCCCCGUGACAUGUCAAGAGUUAUUUAAAGGGGUUACAGCUCCUUUAAAAAAGGGUACAACCUCUUCUAGCGGAUAAUUUUUUCCCACUCGCCCCUGUAGGCCUUCUAGCAGCCAUCAACAAAGAAUGCGUCAAAGCUCUUCAUCUUAAAAAUUAUAAGACAAUACGACUCCCUUAAUCCCAACAGGCCAACCUAUGACUAUAGGAGAAUCAAUGCUAAAAUGAGUAACCCGGGGCCUCCCUCUCAGGCGCAAGUUUACAUCUUGUCCAAUUAUUAACACGACUGAUACCUUAACUUCAACUAGACCAAGUAUUAGACAUACUGUUGACCCUACCCAGGAGCGCCACAUUAGAAAGAUUAAAAUCUGUAAAAGGAACUAGGCAAACCCAAGACCCGACUGUUUACCAAAAACAUAGCCUUCAGCCUCCCAAGUAUUGAAGGUGACGCCUGCCCAGUGACAGCAUGUUUAACGGCCGCGGUAUCCUAACCGUGCAAAGGUAGCGCAAUCAAUUGUCCCAUAAAUCGGGACUUGUAUGAAUGGCUUAACGAGGUCUUAACUGUCUCUUUCAGAUAAUCAGUGAAAUUGAUCUUCUCGUGCAAAAGCGAGAAUACACACACAAGACGAGAAGACCCUGUGGAACUUUAAAAUCAACAGCCACGGCACAACUAAACCAAACCUACUAGGCCCAUCACCAAAGCCACUUUGGCCUGUAUUUUUAGGUUGGGGUGACCUUGGAGAAAAGCAAAACCUCCAAAUACAAGACCAAACCUCUUGACUUAGAGCGACAUCUCAACGUGCAAAUAGUAACCAGACCCAAUAUAAUUGAUCAAUGAACCAAGCUACCCCAGGGAUAACAGCGCAAUCCCCUCCAAGAGCCCUCAUCAACGAGGGGGUUUACGACCUCGAUGUUGGAUCAGGACAUCCUAGUGGUGCAGCCGCUACUAAGGGUUCGUUUGUUCAACGAUUAACAGUCCUACGUGAUCUGAGUUCAGACCGGAGCAAUCCAGGUCGGCUUCUAUCUGUGAUUGACUCUUCCUAGUACGAAAGGACCGGAAAAGUAUGGCCAAUACUUUAAGCACGCCACACCGCAAAGUAAUGAAAACAACUAAAUUACUAAGCGAGCUAUCCCUUCCUGCCCUAGAAAAGGGCCG
rnacentral:rRNA from 1 species